GUAGGUGGCAAGCGUUGUCCGGAAUUAUUGGGCGUAAAGCGCGCGCAGGCGGUUCUUUAAGUCUGAUGUGAAAGCCCACGGCUCAACCGUGGAGGGUCAUUGGAAACUGGAGAACUUGAGUACGGAAGAGGAAAGCGGAAUUCCACGUGUAGCGGUGAAAUGCGUAGAGAUGUGGAGGAACACCAGUGGCGAAGGCGGCUUUCUGGUCUGUAACUGACGCUGAGGCGCGAAAGCGUGGGGAGCAAACAGGGAUUAGAUACCCUGGUAGUCCACGCCGUAAACGAUGAGUGCUAAGUGUUAGGGGUUUCCCGCCCCUUAGUGCUGCAGCUAACGCAUUAAGCACUCCGCCUGGGGAGUACGGCCGCAAGGCUG
rnacentral:rRNA from 1 species